rnacentral:rRNA from 1 species
UACGAAGGGGGCGAGCGUUGUUCGGAUUUACUGGGCGUAAAGGGCGCGUAGGCGGCCGAUCAAGUCAGGCGUGAAAGCCCCAGGCUUAACCUGGGAACUGCGUCGGAUACUGGAUGGCUUGAAUCCGGGAGAGGGAUGCGGAAUUCCAGGUGUAGCGGUGAAAUGCGUAGAUAUCUGGAGGAACACCGGUGGCGAAGGCGGCAUCCUGGACCGGCAUUGACACUGAAGCGCGAAAGCCAGGGGAGCAAACGGG